CUAGCGACUUCAGAGUUUGAUCCUGGCUCAGGACGAACGCUGGCGGCGUGCCUAACACAUGCAAGUCGAACGGGGUGUUCCUUCGGGGACACUUAGUGGCGAACGGGUGAGUAACGCGUGAGAAACCUGCCUCUCAGUGGGGGACAACAGUUGGAAACGACUGCUAAUACCGCAUAAUGUCAUCGGGUCGCAUGAUCUGAUAACCAAAGCUUUAUGUGCUGAGAGAUGGUCUCGCGUCUGAUUAGCUAGAUGGCGGGGUAACGGCCCACCAUGGCGACGAUCAGUAGCCGGUCUGAGAGGAUGAACGGCCACAUUGGGACUGAGAUACGGCCCAG
rnacentral:rRNA from 1 species